CCUACGUGCGGCAGCAGUGAGGAAUAUUGGUCAAUGGGCGCGAGCCUGAACCAGCCAAGUAGCGUGAAGGAUGACUGCCCUACGGGUUGUAAACUUCUUUUAUAAAGGAAUAAAGUGAGGCAAGUGUGCCUUUUUGUAUGUACUUUAUGAAUAAGGAUAGGCUAACUCCGUGCCAGCAGCCGCUGUAAUACGGAGGAUCCGAGCGUUAUCCGGAUUUAUUGGGUUUAAAGGGAGCGUAGAUGGGUUGUUAAGUCAGUUGUGAAAGUUUGCGGCUCAACCGUAAAAUUGCAAUUGAUACUGGCAGUCUUGAGUACAGUUGAGGUAGGCGGAAUUCGUGGUGUAGCGGUGAAAUGCUUAGAUAUCACGAAGAACUCCGAUUGCGAAGGCAGCUUACUAAACUGCCACUGACAUUGAUGCUCGAAAGUGUGGGUAUCAAACAGGAUUAGAUACCCUUGUAGUC
rnacentral:rRNA from 1 species